AAAAAUUCGAUUCUGAACGAGUCCGAAUUUCCUCACGCUUUGUGGUACCUUUGUUAUCUGGGCUGAGAGAUAAGAAGAAGAAGAAUUGCAGAUUCUAUCUUUAUCAUAAAUCAAAUGAGGACUCUCCAGCUGGUUGAAUCUCUGCUGUGCAGCUGCUAUCGGCACCUUAUGAAGCUCCC